rnacentral:rRNA from 1 species
ACGUGAUCUGAGUUCAGACCGGAGCAAUCCAGGUCAGUUUCUAUCUAUAAGAAGUCUUUUCUAGUACGAAAGGACCGAAAAGACAUGGCCAAUGCACUAGCAAACCAUCCUAACCAACUUAUGACUCAAACUCAAUAAAAAACUAAUUCAACAUAUAGUCCAAGAAAAAGACA